GGAUAUGGCAGUCUCUAGAUGGUCCAUCCUUUCAUCACAGCUCCAAACUUUGUCUCUGUAAUUCCUUCCAUGGGUGUUUUGUUCCCAAUUCUAAGAAGGGGCACAGUGUCCAUACUUUGCUUCCUUAGUUAGAGUCACGCCAAGGUAUUUUAUAUUAUUUGUGACUAUUGAGAAGGGUGUUGUUUCCCUAAUUUCUUUCUCAGCCUGUUUAUCCUUUGUGUACAGAAAGGCCGUUGACUUGUUUGAGUUAGUUUUAUAUCCAGCUACUUCAUUGAAGCUGUUUAUCAGGCUUAGGAGUUCUCUGGUAGAAUUUUUAGGGUCACUUAUAUAUACUAUCAUAUCAUCUGCAAAAAGUGAUAUUUUGACUUCUUCCUUUCCAAUUUGUAUCCCCUUGAUCUCCUUUUGUUGUCUAAUUGCUCUGGCUAGGACUUCAAGUACAAUGUUGAAUAGGUAGGGUGAGAGUGGACAGUCUUGUCUAGUCCCUGAUUUUAGUGGGAUUGUUUCCAGCUUCUCACCAUUUACUUUGAUGUUGACUACUGGUUUGCUGUAGAUUGCUUUUAUCAUCCUCAGAGAAUUCUAACCUUGUGGAUUUAUAACUGGUGUAGGUCCCAUCUGAGCACAGAGUAUUUACUAUCUGUUACCUUCCUAACAAGGACAAAAAAAAAGAAUAUCUUUUUUAUUCUUUAAAAGAACCAGUUCUUGGGAGGAAGGGAGACUGCCGAAUUGUAGUAAAGCUCUUUGUUGUGAGAUCUCAGUGCACACUGUCUACCUCACCAUUGGUUUCUACAGUGUAUUUGUUAUGACAUAGCAUCUACAGGUGUGUAGCUCAGAGGUAGAAUUCCUUCCUAGCAUGUAGGAGUUAAGUCCAGUCGCCAUUGCCUCACUGAAAGAAACCACAGGGAAAAUCAUUUGUCUUGAAUGAGAGUAAUUGGGAAGAUAGGAAAGUGGAUCGACUGCCCCAUAGUCCCUUACACAGAAGUUUUGAUGAUACUACUUUUAUUGUACCCUUAUUUUUAAUUGACAAAUAUAGAUUGUAUGCUUUUAGUGUGGAGUGCAUUGCAUUGAUUUCUAUAUGUUGUAAGAUGAUUUUAUCAAUCUAGCUUCCAUGACUAUCACUUCACAUUCCUGCUGCAUGUAUAUGAGUGAUAAGUACAUUUGAGGUCUUGUCUCAGUGGAUGUAGAUAGAAAGUUACCACUGACCACAGUCCCUGUGUUGGUCAGUAGAUUCCAAUGGUAGCUUCAGAAGCCUGGUUCUCUGUCAUAGUCUUUAUUCUCCUCUAGUUUACCUUUAGCCAUCAGCAAAAGAUGAGAGACGAUCACCUCUAUCCAACCAUUUAUUUCCAGGAUCUGAGAAGAGUAUGGGAAUAGUAGAUAAAUGAGACUUGGUGUGGCAUUCCAAAUAGGAGAUUCUGUAUGGCACAUCACAAUAAAUUUUGUUCUCCAGAAUUUUUUUUACCAAAUAGAAUCUAAGAAUCAUUUUGUUAGUAUACAGCUCUUUUAGGAAGAAUAGCCUUACUUGCUAUAAUAACUAUCAUUUAUUGAAUUGCCAGAUAUUAUUCCUGUUGUCACUGACUAGGGUGAAUACAAACAACAAAUGCCUCUUCAGGCUGCAGAAUUAGACAUUCAGUAUAGAAGUGGUUUACCCAGCAGCAGGUAGAAAAUGUAGUGUAAGAUUAGAGGGUGCAGGGAACCUCUGGUUUAUACAGAAGAAGAAAAAAAAAGGACAAACAUUACAAUUCAGUACAUGUGAUUGAUUUUCUUUUCUCAAACACAUGUCCAUGAGCCCUGGCUAAGUCAAUUAGAAACCCAGUAGCCGAGUGCCCUCCUUAAUCAUGCCUGUGAGUUUGGGUUGUUCUCAUCUCCUCAGAGACACUAAAGUCCCUACGGUAAGGACAAAGGUGAGAGCAAAAGUCUUUAGUAAUUAAAUAUGUCUCAAAGUCUCAGGUUUAUGCUUCCAUUAUAGUUUAAAUGGUAGAUAGUAAGGACAAAGUGUACAAAUAAAAUCUCCUUAUAAUAAAAGUCUCUGCAAUAUAAGAUAUUCUUCUCUCUUGUUAAAGCCUCCUUCAAAUUGACACAUUUCAACUAAAGAAUAUAGAAGAGCCAUCGAUCGCAAGCAAAAUAAGACUUGACUAGUAAUCUGAGUGUGACACACAGAUAUGGGUUAUUAUACUCUCUGCAUUGGUUAAGGGUGGACCUGAACAGUGACUCCACAAAGGGGCAGUCCAUCAGAGCCACCUUGAUAGAAUACACGUGUUCAGGCUUGUUGUUGUAAGCACCUGCUCUUCCCUGUUUAAAGCCAUGACCCCAAGCCAUUAAAACAAAUAAGAGAUGUAUGAAUGAUGUACAUUGAACAUUGAUUGGUUUUCUAAUAGCCAGAAGGCUAUAACCAUGGAUAAAUUCAUCACACAUAAUGACCAGUUUAUUAAUCUUAGUAUCCAAUAAAUGAAACUUUAAAAUGAAUCUUUGGUAAACAUUUAAGCAUUGAUUAAAAUCUAAUCUAUGUUCCUUUAACCAAUUUAAAAAGCAGUUGCUACUCUAAUAUAGUUGGGGUUUUUUUCUUUAAUUCAAACAGCUUAAAGAAUAGCUAAAACAAUACAAAAACAGUCAUUACAAAGCCAAUUACUACAUUUGCACUUGGAUCUGUUCUAAAAUGUUAACAGUAUUGGUUUGACUUUACUCUUCAUUAUUUCUGAACAACCUUGUGGGGUUUCAGAAAUGUCACAUUAAUUAAUACCUGUCCAGGUUUAAUAAUACAUAGUAGGACCUGGAGGCUACUCUACCUGAUUGUCAGGGCACAAUCUGAGCUGUCCCAUUAAGAACAAGUUGGCUUCUUACACUAGUGUGAGUGUUUGUGCAUCACUCAGUUCAAGGAAUGCUAUUAACCACAGGAGGGAACAAAGGAAAUCCAAGUGAGGGAAGGAGAAGUUUCCUCAGACUGAGUCUACGUUGCCAGUUCUUGACUUUCUAGGUGCUCCAACAGGAUGCAGACCUGGAGCUGAGAGGCUGCUCAACCACCUGGUGAAAGGUCCAACUAGGCUGUGUUAGAUAUAAGAGAGUAAGGGAGAAAAGACAGAAGGAAUAGCAGGAAUGAGAGGGAAAGACAUGGAAGAACUGCUUGGAAGGAAAGAACCGAGAAUGGUUAAGGGC
rnacentral:lncRNA from 1 species